GGAUUAGGCAUGCAAGUCGUGCGCGAAAGCCUUCGGGCGAGUAGAGCGGCGAACGGGUGAGUACCACGUAAUCAACCUGCCCUUGAGAUCGGAAUAGCCACUGGAAACGGUGGGUAAAGCCGAAUGGCCCCGGAGAGGGGAUUCCUUCUCCGGGUAAACGGCGGCUUCGGCUGCUGCUCGGGGAGGGGAUUGCGGCCUAUCAGCUUGUUGGUGGGGUAACGGCCUACCAAGGCGAUGACGGGUAGCCGGUCUGAGAGGACGAUCGGCCACACUGGAACUGAGACACUGUCCAGACUCCUACGGGAGGCUGCAGUCGAGAAUCUUCCGCAAUGGGCGAAAGCCUGACGGAGCGACACCGCGUGCAGGAUGAAGGCCCUCGGGUUGUAAACUGCUGUCACGCCGUAUGAAUGCCAUGUCGUUAAUAGCGGCAUGGUUGACGUCAAGGCGAAAGGAAGCACCGGCUAACUCCGUGCCAGCAGCCGCGGUAAGACGGAGGGUGCGAACGUUGUUCGGAAUCACUGGGCAUAAAGCGCACGUAGGCGGCGUGGUCAGUCCGAUGUGAAAGCCCCCGGCUCAACCGGGGAACCGCAUUGGAUACUGCCAUGCUCGAGGAUGGUUGGGGUGAGUGGAACUCCUGGUGGAGCGGUGAAAUGCGUAGAUAUCAGGAGGAACACCGGUGGCGAAAGCGGCUCACUGGACCAUUUCUGACGCUGAGGUGCGAAAGCUAGGGGAGCGAACGGGAUUAGAUACCCCGGUAGUCCUAGCCGUAAACGAUGGGCACUAAGUAGAGGGGUUUU
rnacentral:rRNA from 1 species